UUAAGCAAUUUGUAUGACAUUCUGCACGUAGCCAUUGGUGAUAAUCCCAUCACUUUUAUGUCUGACAAACAAAAGGUAUGUUAUCUCUAAUACAUCUAGGCAUGCUUUUGAUUUCAGGUGCAAAAGUGAUCAUAUCACAAAUAAUAUGACAGAAUCAUUCAAUCAAUAGAUUGCACCGUUUAGGGAAAAGCCAAUUUUUACUUUGAUUGAUGAGAUUAUAAAACAACUGAUGAACAAGAUGCAAAAAAGAUAUCAAUUGGGAUGUAGCUUCAAGGAAGAGUCACACCAAAGAUCAAAACUAAAUUGGAUGCCAUUACUAUCAAAGAUAUAGGAUGUAUGGUUCUUACUGCUAGAUUAGAUGAAUUUAAAGUCACAAAAAGUGAAGGAAGAUAUAUAGUUGAUUUAAAGAAGCACACUUGCAGAUGCAUGCAGAGUAUGAGAUGCUAUAAGACUACUAUAUAAGCAUGCAAUUGCAUGAAUAAAAUAUAAGAGAUAAAUCUUGGAAAAGUAUUGUGAUGAUUAUUACAAUGUGGCAAAAUACUUGUCAUUUUACAAGGAUAUUAUUUAUGCAUUGUCUGGUUUAGAUGAGUUGCAAGAAGAGCGUCUGAUGGGGAUUGUUCAUCCUCCACCAAUAAAAAGGUUGGUGGGUAGACCACACAAAAAUGUGAAGAAGGCACCAGAUGAAGGACCAUCCGAAGAGUUUUAAAAAAGAUCCAAUACUAUCAGUUGUGGAAGAUAUAAGUCCACUGAGCACAAUGUAAGGACAUGUACAAGACCUCCAGUGAAUGUCAAUGAUGCAUCUUCUAGGAAGAUAGUAAGAGAAAAGAGAAAAGAAAGAAGCAGAAGCUAAUAUACCAUCAACAAUUCAUAGGUAUUGACAAGGUCACAAGUUUCCACUAUCAUAGUUCAAGUGAACAUGCAGUUGAAGACUAAAGCACAGUUGAAAGCCAAAAAGGAGAAAAGGAAAGCACGAGAAGCAAUAAAAAAAUGCAAAGAACAAUUAGGGAGUACAUCUUGAGUGCAGGGAAAAUUGAGAUGAUGACUGAAGUAGGAUGGAAUGUAUGUUGAUACAGUAUUGUGGAUGUGAGUGUUUGUGAUGGGAUGUAUUUUGAUACUUUUUGGAGAUAUUUAAUUUUGGUGUAUGUAUUCCUUACAUAGUAUGUGAUGUAUUUUGAUAUUUUUUGUUGCUC